rnacentral:rRNA from 1 species
GGAUUGCCUCAGUAACUGCGAGUGAAGCGGCAAAAGCUCAAAUUUGAAAUCUGGCGUCUUUUGGGCGCCCGAGUUGUAAUUUGGAGGAGCGUCUUCGGGAGCGGCACCGUCCUAAGUUCCGUGGAACCGGACGUCACAGAGGGUGAGAAUCCCGUGCCUGGGCGGUCUGUUCGUUCCCAUGUGAAGUGCUUCCGACGAGUCGAGUUGUUUGGGAAUGCAGCUCAAAAUGGGUGGUAAAUUUCAUCUAAAGCUAAAUAUUGGCGAGAGACCGAUAGCGCACAAGUAGAGUGAUCGAAAGAUGAAAAGCACUUUGAAAAGAGAGUUAAAAAGUACGUGAAAUUGUUGAAAGGGAAGCGCUUGAGAUCAAACUCGGCCUUUGGUGAAGCUUUGAGUUCGCUCGAAGCCGCUUGCCUUUGGCUGGGCCAGCAUCGGUUUCGGCGGUGGGAGAAACGGUGGAGGAAUGUAGCUCUCUUCGGGGAGUGUUAUAGCCUCUGUCAAAUACCACCAGUCGGGACUGAGGACCGCGCUUCAGGCUAGGAUGCUGGCGGAAUGGUCUUAAGCGACCCGUCUUGAAACACGGACCAAGGAGUCUAACAUCUAUGCGAGUGUUCGGGUGGAAAACCCUUGCGCGUAAUGAAAGUGAACGGAGGUGGGAACCGUAUGGUGCACCAUCGACCGAUCCCGAUGUUUUCGGAAGGAUUUGAGUAUGAGCAUAGCUGUUGGGACCCGAAAGAUGGUGAACUAUGCCUGAAUAGGGUGAAGCCAGAGGAAACUCUGGUGGAGGCUCGCA